GGGAAACUGCCCGAUGGAGGGGGAUAACUACUGGAAACGGUAGCUAAUACCGCAUAACGUCGCAAGACCAAAGUGGGGGACCUUCGGGCCUCACACCAUCGGAUGUGCCCAGAUGGGAUCAGCUAGUAGGUGGGGUAAUGGCUCACCUAGGCGACGAUCCCUAGCUGGUCUGAGAGGAUGACCAGCCACACUGGAACUGAGACACGGUCCAGACUCCUACGGGAGGCAGCAGUGGGGAAUAUUGCACAAUGGGCGCAAGCCUGAUGCAGCCAUGCCGCGUGUAUGAAGAAGGCCUUCGGGUUGUAAAGUACUUUCAGCGGGGAGGAAGGCGGUGGAGUUAAUAGCUUCACCGAUUGACGUUACCCGCAGAAGAAGCACCGGCUAACUCCGUGCCAGCAGCCGCGGUAAUACGGAGGGUGCAAGCGUUAAUCGGAAUUACUGGGCGUAAAGCGCACGCAGGCGGUCUGUCAAGUCGGAUGUGAAAUCCCCGGGCUUAACCUGGGAACUGCAUUCGAAACUGGCAGGCUAGAGUCUUGUAGAGGGGGGUAGAAUUCCAGGU
rnacentral:rRNA from 1 species